CCCACAUACAGUCACUCAGCCACCACCAACAUUCACAAUCGCACUCAAUGCCACCCUCAAUCACACUCCGUAAACUCCACGCACAAACUCAGAAAGCCCUCUUACACAUCACACUCAGCCAACUCUACACACAUACAUAUCACACUCGGCUACCACACACAUCCCACUCCGGUGUAUGUCAUAGGGGGUGCUUCUUUCCCCUUAGGCAUAGGGAUUCUAAGUUAUGCAUUACUGCCCCCAAAAAUGGCACUGAACGCUACAAUCAACUCUCUGACAGAGCUUUAACAAUCUGCUUCCAAUCUUGAAACCUCAGGAUCCAACCCAGCAAGGGUUCAGCUAU